UACAGAGGUCUCAAGCGUUGUUCGGAUUCAUUGGGCGUAAAGGGCUUGUAGGUGGCCAACUAAGUCAGACGUGAAAUCCCUCGGCUUAACCGGGGAACUGCGUCUGAUACUGGAUGGCUGGAGUGUGGGAGAGGGAUGCGGAAUUCCAGGUGUAGCGGUGAAAUGCGUAGAUAUCAGGAGGAACACCGGUGGCGAAGGCGGGUCUCUGGGCAGUAACUGACGCUGAGGAGCGAAAGCGUGGGGAGCGAACAGG
rnacentral:rRNA from 1 species